UUGAAUUAGAGUAUUACAAGGUUAGGAAGCACCUGAAAUAUUGGAAGAAGCUAAGAAUCUUGCUGCAUCUGGUGUCGGUCACAGAAUUUUCUUCUGGUUCUUGCACGAGGUACUCACACAAUUGCCGCCGGUUCUCUGAUCCUUCUUAUUACAUAGUACACUACUACCUUCUUUACAUUCUUUCGCUUCUCUGGCCCAUCAUCUUUGGGUAUUUACAUGUAAACAGAAAGUGUCGAUGAGGCUGCUGCUGCUCUAGCUUCACUUACUGUACCUGGUAUCACCACUGAAUCUUGGCCUUGUGUUCAUCUUCUUGUACUGUCUUGGACAUCACGGGACUCCAACCAUUUAAGCACAUCUUUAUGCUGGUGUCCCGGAGGCGAUGGGGUCUGCAAAGGAAUUUUCCAUCAGGAUGAGAUAGACGUCGUUUAUUCACCUAGAUAACCCUCUUUUCACCACCCUAAAAUUUGUAACAUACGCUGAUCACACAGAUACCAGAUGUGGUUUAUUCUUAGUUGUUAAUUGUUCUGAAAGUGAUGGAUCAAAUGCCUAUGAAGUUGUUCAUAUUCUUGCAUACUACAAGUAGUUGGGGGUCUGCUAAAUGUCAUGAACAGGAGAAGGUUCUAUCUAGCAUUAGGGAGGGCUUUAUUUAUAAUCCUAAUAAGUAUUAUGUAAAGUUUGUUUGUUUUUCUCUUUUGAUCUGAAUGGCAUGGAAAAUAUUGAUUCAUUUCAUGUCAUCAUUUUAUUUUAUUUUUCUGUCUUGCUCAGUAAAACUUGCUUUUGUUAAUUAGGCCAAAGUUUUCACCCCUUUUAUAAAAGAAAACAAAUAACUUGAUGCUAACAUCCAUGGUGCUUGUCAGAGAAGACCCCAUGCAAAUCGGUGACUGGUGUGUUAGGGUGACCAUCCACCAUUGCUUCUUCGACAACAUGCGGCCGAUCCACCCACACCUGCGGUUCAGCAAGGUCCACCUCUACAACAAAACUACACCAGGGAUUGGGGCAUAUACACCGUCUGCUACAGUGUCAAAGCUCAGAUUGUAUCCGGUGUAACAUAUACGAUGGACAGAAGAAGACUGCACCUGCAUCUUCAGACAAGAUGAGACGAGGAUGCUGCUGCAGGCUGCCGAUAGAGAACAGAUGGCGGCCGGGGGGAUGGCAAGAGCAGGGCCGCUCGGGCAAGGCCACGGGCAUCUUCUUUGCCAUGGGCACCUAGGGCUGGUGUGCCAAGAUUGAGACAUCGGCACCUGUUGUCCACAUCGAUGCUGGCAAUGAAAAAAAUACAUGGAGCUACGCAACCAAAUUUGAUGCCCAUCAACAUCAGCUAGAUGCUGCACUGUCGGUCAUGAAUCCUUGGAUAUUUGUAAGUUUGAAGAAGCAUAUGGUGUAGGGCUGUAUAAACACGUUAAGAAUUGUAACAACAAGAUAACUGGAUCGCCAACCAAGCUGUCCGCAACGACGACAAGAAAGCCGAGAUCCAAAGGCGCCGCCCCAGUCUCUCCCUGCUGUCGUUCACAUGCCCAGGUUUGUCUCUCUUUCUCUCGCUCCUGCGACAGCUUGAGAAGGGACGACGUCGGUGGCUUAGCUCCAUUUCUAUGAGAUGGAGGAGUUUGUGAAACCUUGCUACACCUUUGAUUUGAGAAUAGAAUCACUGGAAAUACAUAUUUUACAUUAAGAUCUUUAGAAAAAGAAUGGGAUGCCUGAAGAAAAGCUUUUAAUCCAUGUUUUUUUGCACCACCCCUGCAUCUUCUCGUCGGUGGCAGCACAUGGUGGUGGAUGAGUGCUACACGACCUCGCAGGGGCUCUAUCCGAACCCGGACAUCGACCUCAAGAAGCCAAGCCGGCUCAUCCUAGAGGCCAAGCUCGCGCAUGCCACUCGGGCUCCGAUGACCCCAGGCCCAACCUGGACGAGUGCCCAAUCUGCUUCCUGGCAGUCCCCUUUCCCUUAGUUUCUUCCUGUUCCUCCCAUUGAUUCAUCUAUAGAUAGAUGCAGAAUUCUGACUAUGUUAUUUGUUUUUUCUUUCAUGUGUUCCUUUGUGAUAUACCGGUUUUGUCCAGCCCGCACAUCAUCUAAACUACAAAGGAAUGCAAGUGUUUAUGGUAUUUCAGUGAUAAUUGAUUAAUUUCCUAGGAGAUUAAGUGGUCUGGUUUCUGCAUAUGAAAACAUAGUUUUUUCUGGAGGAUCUGAAGAAUGAAGAUAGCAUAAUGGAGACGAACUGGGCAUCGAGAAGACUGGUUUCUACACUGAUAUAUGUACUUGUAUCUCUUCCGAAUGUGUUUAAUUAAGAUGUGACUCAUCUGCGAGAGAGACUUGGUUUGUGCAGAGAUCACAGAAGCUUAAUGUUGCCAAUCAGGUAUUGUAGAAAUAUUUAAGUUUCACAAGCACUGACUUGAGAGUAUGAUGUUCUCUGCUUAUAUGAACCUGAUGGUGAAGAAAUAGGGCUAUUAGUUGACAUAAUUUAUGUGUGAAGUGAUAUUUUUGUUGGGGGUUCUACAUGAUUUCAGCCGUUGCUCAUGCUGCCUAUAAAGCUACUGGUUUCUUGCAUAGAUAAGACAUUAUCUUCAUCUUACACCAAUAGACCAUUCUGUAAUUUACUUCCCCUAAAAAAUUGCAUACACCCACGGAUGAUGAUUUGGGCAAGAUAAAUAUACAUAAAUUUGGACUAUU